GCUGGGCUGCUUUGACAUUCCUCAGCAGGGAGAGCUGAGCUCACGGAGGUGCUCAGGAUGCGGCUGUGGGAGAACUCAGCAGGAAUCCCAGAACCAUAGGUGGGUCCUCUGAGCACAAAGAAUUCCCUCAUUGGACUCCCACCCCCUCAAAGGCCUCAUGGUGUGGUGACUGUCUAAUGGGGAAAGGCUGUGCACAGCUCCCUUGGAACCCAUCAAAACUGCACCGUAGAGAAGGAAGUGCUUCCCCAGGACUGGACAUGCUGCCUCCUCAAUGCUACCAGCCUAAGGACCUGACCCUGAUCUCUCAUAGUGGGGACGGCCCAGCCCAACAUCUCUAAAGGAAACGUCAGUUUAACGAGCUUUCCUGCAUUCUGCCUGGUUAGCUGAUAAAAUGGAAGCAGCUGAAUUUUGAGACACUAUAGCAGUUUGAGUCACAAGUGAAAAACUCCAUAUCCUAUAGAGCCAUCAAUCCAAACCCACCCUGGACAGGUACAACACGAGCAGCAUAGCCCCACCCACGCACUUCAGAUUCAACUCGGAAGGACUUUCAUGGGGCUCAAGGGUGCUUUCAUUUCCAUGGCCAUUCAGUGCCAGCAAUGUCUUGCUAGACUGCCUGCGAGAGCAAUUUUACUGCCAGUUCUGGUGGCAUCCUGCUUUCACACCAGAAGAACAUUAUGAUGAAUAGAUGAGAACCACAUUUCCAAAGGGACCUCAACAAGGUAGCGCUUUGUGAAAGGGAUUUUGUGUAUGCAUCGACAGCACAAUAGCACACUGCAGAGUAUAUUAAUCAUGGUAAUAAGGUAUCUCAUUUUAACCCCCCAGUUCUGGGAGUACAGUAAACUGUAGGAACCAGGCGCAGAAUUUAGACAGCUAACUGGCUGCCUUUACAUGGAUGAGCAAUAUUUACAAGUCAGAGAAUGUAGCCAUCUCUGUAUUGUCACUUGUGCCUAUAUCUCACUUGCCCACAAAACUGCAGAGGAAUCUAUUUAACUUAUUUGUCCUCUAUUGGCAUUGUGUCAGAACACUUCACAAUCAUGAAUAUAUUUUGCUUAACACCAACCCUGUGAGGUAUGGAAGUGCCAUUCCCCCCAUUUUACAGAUGGGAAACUGAGGCACGGAGAGGAUAGGUGACUUGCUCACAGUCACACCAGGAGUCUGUGGUAGAGCAGGGAAUUGAAGCUGGAUCUUCAAGUCCUAGGCUAGUGCCCUAAUCACUGGCCCAUCCUUCCUCUCUUGGAUGGGGCACAGUUGUGCACACACAAAGUUAAGGGUGUCUUGAAAAUCUCACUGCAUAUUUUGUCAUAAAAUCCAAAAAACAGUUUCAUUUCCAUGGAUUAUUUAAGAUAACUGCUUGAUUUCAUCAUAAUCAAACACUUUUUAUGUUGUCUUCUGGAGUGUGUGGAAAGGGCCUGUUAAGGCAAGAUCCUCUAUGGCCCUUAUGCAGUUGCGCAAUAGAGGCGAGUGUAAGGAGCCCCCGACAUCAAAAAAAGAUGGUAGAAGUGAAUGGUGGGAAAAAUAAAUGAACACACUAUAUGACUGCAGCUGCGCUUGUCCAAGAGAAGGUCUUUAAUUUCACUCGAGGACAGAACUUUCCGGAAACAGCUAACUCUUAACAUCAGUAACAUCAAGGAUUUUCACACACAGUCAUAAAAUAUUUGGAAAUGUGCACAGAUGGCAGGGCAGACAGUUCUCAAAUGGUUUCAAAAGUCAUGAGUUUUUUCUAGUACCAAUUACAUACGUGUCUCAGGGAGCGCUUACCUUGGCUGUACAGAAACAGACAGAGUGUCGGUCUCUCUGCCCAGAUUAGAAUGCAGACUCCAUUAAGGCAACAACAACCAUACUUAGGCACCUGAAAUGUAUACAAGGU